UCAUCACUCCGCAGUCUGCCCCCCAGCCCACUGAUAGCAACCAUCAUAAUGCCCCACCCAGCUUCCGGCACCUUUCGCCACUCCGGCACAAACCGACACAGCUUUGCGAUCUCCCCAGCAUGCAGAGUCUGAUGUCUUCCCUAUAGAUGAUUCCAGAGACUCUGUGAGGCCACUAUUGCAAGGUGAGACGCUUUGCGUUGAUUGGUGCUGCUGGACCACACUGGAGGUGCGAGUCCGCCGUGUAAUGGUUUAUGCCAUUACAAAGGAGCUGGCCUCUGUACUCAACUGGGCAGGGGAAAAAAAACCAAGGACCAGACAAAGCAAAAAAGGGCAUUUAAAGAGACAGCACUGUGCAGAUGCAUAUUUGAUGGCCUGGCGCAGCAGGUAGGGGCGAACUCUAUGUCUGAGUUGGUCUUUGCUCAAGCAGUCCAGAAAUGGCUCAGAUAUGCUCCAGAUCGUACGGGUGGCACGCAGGACGCCCAUCAUCCAUCCCCAUCCCGGAGUAAAUAAUAAAAAGUGACGUGAAACAUAGAAAUGUAAAUAGGAAACUUUGUCUUUUAAUAAAGUAUUUUGCAAAUGA